rnacentral:rRNA from 1 species
UACCAGCCCCCUGAGUGGUAGGGACGAUUACUUGGCCUAAAGCGUCCGUAGCCUGCUUGGCAAGUCUUUCGUCAAAUCCGGCGACUCAAUCGUCGGACCGCGGAAGAUACUACUAGGCUUGAGGACGGGAGAGGUCGACGGUAGUCCCGGGGUAGGGGUGAAAUCCUAUAAUCCUGGGAGGACCACCAGUGGCGAAGGCGGUCGACUAGAACGUGCCUGACGGUGAUGGACGAAAGCUGGGGGAGCGAACCGGAUUAGACACCCGGGUAGUCCCAGCUGUAAACGAUGCGGGCUAGGUGUUGGGGUAGCUAUGAGCUACUCCAGUGCUGCAGAGAAGUCGUUAAGCCCGCCGCCUGGGAAGUACGGCCGCAAGGCUGAAACUUAAAGGAAUUGGCGGGGGAGCACCACAAGGGGUGAAGCCUGCGGUUCAAUUGGAGUCAACGCCGGGAAACUUACCAGGGCUGACAGCAGGGUGAAGGCCAGACUAAAGAUCUUACCAGACAAGCUGAGAGGAGGUGCAUGGCCGUCGCCAGUUCGUGCCGUGAGGUGUCCUGUUAAGUCAGGCAACGAACGAGACCCUCGCCCCUAGUUGCCAGCGGGUUCCAACGGAACGCCGGGCACACUAGAGGGACCGCUGUCGACGAGACAGAGGAAGGGGAGGGCUACGGCAGGUCAGUAUGCCCCGAAUGCCCUGGGCCACACGCGGGCUGCAAUGGUGGGGACAAAGGGUUCCGACCCCGGAAGGGGAAGGUAAUCUCGAAACCCCACCUCAGUUGGGAUUGAGGGCUGAAACCCGCCCUCAUGAACAUGGAAUCCCUAGUAACCGCAUGUCAUCAUCGUGCGGUGAAUACGUCCCCGCUCCU